AGAGUUUGAUCCUGGCUCAGGACGAACGCUGGCGGCACGCUUAACACAUGCAAGUCGAACGAGAGAAGAGGAGCUUGCUUUUCUGAUCUAGUGGCGGACGGGUGAGUAACACGUGAGCAAUCUGCCUUUCAGAGGGGGAUACCGAUUGGAAACGAUCGUUAAUACCGCAUAACAUAAUUGAACCGCAUGAUUUGAUUAUCAAAGAUUUAUCGCUGAAAGAUGAGCUCGCGUCUGAUUAGCUAGUUGGUAAGGUAACGGCUUACCAAGGCGACGAUCAGUAGCCGGACUGAGAGGUUGAUCGGCCACAUUGGGACUGAGACACGGCCCAGACUCCUACGGGAGGCAGCAGUGGGGAAUAUUGCACAAUGGAGGAAACUCUGAUGCAGCGAUGCCGCGUGAGAGAAGAAGGUUUUAGGAUUGUAAACCUCUGUCUUCAGGGACGAAAAAAGACGGUACCUGAGGAGGAAGCUCCGGCUAACUACGUGCCAGCAGCCGCGGUAAUACGUAGGGAGCGAGCGUUGUCCGGAAUUACUGGGUGUAAAGGGAGCGUAGGCGGGAUCGCAAGUCAGAUGUGAAAACUAUGGGCUUAACCCAUAAACUGCAUUUGAAACUGUGGUUCUUGAGUGAAGUAGAGGUAAGCGGAAUUCCUAGUGUAGCGGUGAAAUGCGUAGAUAUUAGGAGGAACGUCAGUGGCGAAGGCGGCUUACUGGGCUUUAACUGACGCUGAGGCUCGAAAGCGUGGGGAGCAAACAGGAUUAGAUACCCUGGUAGUCCACGCCGUAAACGAUGAUUACUAGGUGUGGGGGGACUGACCCCUUCCGUGCCGCAGCAAACGCAAUAAGUAAUCCACCUGGGGAGUACGACCGCAAGGUUGAAACUCAAAGGAAUUGACGGGGGCCCGCACAAGCAGUGGAGUAUGUGGAUUAAUUCGAAGCAACGCGAAGAACCUUACCAGGUCUUGACAUCGUAUGCAUAGCUCAGAGAUGAGUGAAAUCUCUUCGGAGACAUAUAGACAGGUGGUGCAUGGUUGUCGUCAGCUCGUGUCGUGAGAUGUUGGGUUAAGUCCCGCAACGAGCGCAACCCUUACUGUUAGUUGCUACGCAAGAGCACUCUAGCAGGACUGCCGUUGACAAAACGGAGGAAGGUGGGGAUGACGUCAAAUCAUCAUGCCCCUUAUGACCUGGGCCUCACGCGUACUACAAUGGCUGUCAACAGAGGGAAGCAAAGCCGCGAGGUGGAGCGAACCCCUAAAAGCAGUCUUAGUUCGGAUUGUAGGCUGCAACCCGCCUACAUGAAGUCGGAAUUGCUAGUAAUCGCAGAUCAGCAUGCUGCGGUGAAUACGUUCCCGGGCCUUGUACACACCGCCCGUCACGCCACGGGAGUCGGUAACACCCGAAGCCUGUAGUCUAACCGCAAGGAGGACGCAGUCGAAGGUGGGAUUGAUGACUGGGGUGAAGUCGUAACAAGGUA
rnacentral:rRNA from 1 species